GAUGAACGCUGGCGGCGUGCCUAAUACAUGCAAGUCGAACGGGGUGUUUGAGCAAUCGGACACUUAGUGGCGAACGGGUGAGUAACGCGUUGGUGACCUGCCCCAAAGCGGGGGAUAACAGCCUGAAAGGGUUGCUAAUACCGCAUAUGAUGAUGAGAGACUAGAAACUUAUCAUUAAAGGAGAAAUCCACUUUGGGAGGGACCUGCGUCCCAUCAGCUAGUUGGUAGGGUAAAAGCCUACCAAGGCGAAGACGGGUAGGGGACCUGAGAGGGUGACCCCCCACAAUGGAACUGAAACACGGUCCAUACACCUACGGGUGGCAGCAGUAGGGGAUAUUGCACAAUGGGCGGAAGCCUGAUGCAGCAACGCCGCGUGAGUGAUGAAGGCCCUCGGGUCGUAAAACUCUUUUCAAGAGGAAGAGGAAGGACGGUACUCUUGGAAUAAGCCUCGGCUAACUACGUG
rnacentral:rRNA from 1 species